rnacentral:sRNA from 1 species
GCCAGGCAUGGUGGUGCAUGCCUGUAAUCCCAGUGGCUCGGGAGGCUGAGGCAGGAGGAUCAGAAUUCAAAGCCAGCCUCAGCAAAAGUGAAGUGCUAAGCAACUCAGUGAGACCCUGUCUCUA